UGCUGACGAGUGGCGGACGGGUGAGUAACGCGUGGGAAUCUACCUAGUAGUGGGGGAUAGCCAGAAGAAAUUCUGAAUAAUACCGCAUACGCCCUACGGGGGAAAGAGGCCCUCUUCUUGAAAGGUCUCACUAUUAGAUGAGCCCGCGUUAGAUUAGCUAGUUGGUGAGGUAAGAGCUCACCAAGGCAACGAUCUAUAGCUGGUCUGAGAGGAUGAUCAGCCACAUUGGGACUGAGACACGGCCCAGACUCCUACGGGAGGCAGCAGUGGGGAAUAUUGGACAAUGGGCGCAAGCCUGAUCCAGCAAUACCGCGUGUGUGAAGAAGGCCUUAGGGUUGUAAAGCACUUUUAUGAGUGAAGAAGGCUUAGUAGUUAAUACCUACUGAGAUUGACGGUAACUCACGAAUAAGCACCGGCUAACUCCGUGCCAGCAGCCGCGGUAAUACGGAGGGUGCAAGCGUUAAUCGGAAUUACUGGGCGUAAAGGGUACGUAGGCGGUUAGAUAAGUUGGAUGUGAAAGCCCUGGGCUCAACCUAGGAACUGCAUCCAAAACUGUUUAACUAGAGUGUAUAAGAGGUUAGCGGAAUUCCAGGUGUAGCAGUGAAAUGCGUAGAUAUCUGGAGGAACAUCAGUGGCGAAGGCGGCUAACUGGUAUAACACUGACGCUGAGGUACGAAAGCGUGGGGAGCGAACGGGAUUAGAUACCCCGGUAGUCCACGCCCUAAACGAUGAGAACUUGCUGUUGGUUGCGUAAAUGCAGUCAGUAGCGAAGCUAACGCGUUAAGUUCUCCGCCUGGGGAGUACGACCGCAAGGUCGAAACUCAAAGGAAUUGACGGGGGCCCGCACAAGCGGUGGAGCAUGUGGUUUAAUUCGAUGCAACGCGAAGAACCUUACCAUCCCUUGACAUCCUCAGAAUUUGUCGUAAUGAUUUAGUGCCUUCGGGAACUGAGUGACAGGUGCUGCACGGCUGUCGUCAGCUCGUGUCGUGAGAUGUUGGGUUAAGUCCCGCAAUGAGCGCAACCCCUAUCUUUAGUUGCCAGCACGUAAUGGUGGGAACUCUAGAGAGACUGCCGGGAUAAGCCGGAGGAAGGUGGGGACGACGUCAAGUCAUCAUGGCCCUUACGGGAUGGGCUACACACGUGCUACAAUGGUGCAUACAGAGGGUUGCCAAGCCGCAA
rnacentral:rRNA from 1 species